UACGAAGGGGGCUAGCGUUGCUCGGAAUCACUGGGCGUAAAGCGCACGUAGGCGGGUCUUUAAGUCAGGGGUGAAAUCCUGGAGCUCAACUCCAGAACUGCCUUUGAUACUGGAGACCUUGAGUCCGGGAGAGGUGAGUGGAAUUGCGAGUGUAGAGGUGAAAUUCGUAGAUAUUCGCAAGAACACCAGUGGCGAAGGCGGCUCACUGGCCCGGAACUGACGCUGAGACGCGAAAGCGUGGGGGAGCAAACAGG
rnacentral:rRNA from 1 species